rnacentral:rRNA from 1 species
UACGUAGGGUGCGAGCGUUGUCCGGAAUUAUUGGGCGUAAAGAGCUUGUAGGCGGUCUGUCGCGUCUGCUGUGAAAAUCCGGGGCUCAACCCCGGACGUGCAGUGGGUACGGGCAGACUAGAGUGUGGUAGGGGAGACUGGAAUUCCUGGUGUAGCGGUGAAAUGCGCAGAUAUCAGGAGGAACACCGAUGGCGAAGGCAGGUCUCUGGGCCGCUACUGACGCUGAGAAGCGAAAGCAUGGGGAGCGAACAGG